UUGGUUUUUAACCCUAAGGUUUCUUAUUCAUAACUGUUAUUUUUAAGAGUCCUGUUUUAAAAUGUGUUAAGUCAUACCCACCAAUUAGAGUUUGGGCUCUGGCCAAGCUCUAGCUCUACUUGGAUGGAGUGAUUGACAAUCAACCCAGAUGUUUUCUGCAUCAAAAAGUAUUUAAGUCCUUUUGACUUGGCAAUUUGACUAUAUAUGACAGCUGAGCCUAUUUUCAAGGAGAGUUUGGAAAAACAUGAAUCCGGACAUGAAUUUUCCAAUUUUCUGUUGUUUUAAGGUUUAUCAGCUGUUGCAGACUCUGGGAUGACAGUUCAAAGUUGUAGUGCUUGGUAAUUGAAUGCUUUUGCCUGUGUUAUUGAUUAUGUGUAUUAUCUGAUUGAUUCCUAAUUGCUGUUAGUUUCUUCUUUACUACAUGCAUUGUUUUACUCUUGAUGUUUUCUCGUGUUCAUAACCAAAGAAUGUUAGUAAUAGCAACUUAUGUUGAUAUCUUACAUUUCUCUAUACAAUUUUGCAAAACAGAACUGAUCAAUCUUUUAUUUUCACAUCAGGACCCAUUCUUCACCUCCAGGAUUUUGAGAAAAUCCUCCAGUCCCUGAGGGGACGUGGAUUUGUUUGUGUUUUAACAGGUACAAAGUCCAUGUGGAUUUAAGUGAAGAAUGUGAAACUCUAUCAAGUGCAAGAAAACGCUGACCACUCCACAAGCAGAGAAGAAGACACACAGAUGUGGACUGCACAGAGAUUCCAACCCUUGUGUUUCACCCACAGAAGAUUGUGGACUUUGGGUUUCUUCGUGGACUGGGACCUGGGAAACACUGAGGGUUUGCACCUAGUGGCUUGCAGCAGCUACCCCAGCACCGGAGGGACUGACAACAGAGCGACCACCCCAGGAGAGACUUUCUGAAUUUGUCAUCUUUUUCAGAGCGGUGAAAGAGUGGUGUCAUCCGGUAUUGUUCAUUUUGUGUGCUGGGGGGUGCUGUGCCUGUUAAAUAAACAGGUUCUUUCCACUUC